AACACAGUCAGGUCGGUCUGAGCUCACGUAACCACAGUGUUUCCGGGUGCCCCCGCGCAGCCACAGCUUCGGUACCGGGCUUCAGACGCCAUCCGUGAAUUUGGUGACACAAUUCAGUCAUAAAGCCACGGAGGCAAGUGAUAGCCGGGAAAGGUCAGCCAUGGUGCAGACAGAAGCAUCCAGGACACGACUCUGUCGCUGCUGCACAGCCAGAAGUUAAAACAGCGGGGAUUGCAUGGACAGAAACUACUUUAUUUACUCACCUCGGCUCUGUGCCAUCGAACACGGAAGAAACCACCCGUCCCCUCCUUUCUGAGAUUGUUCCUGUGGCCCGAAAACCAACCAUCAAAAUUGCGGCCCUACUCAGAUGUCUAUAGACAUCACCCUGCAGAUGACACCAACCAGGAUUAUCACAGGACACGACAUUUAUCAGAGGACACGACUGUG